CCUACGGGAGGCAGCAGUGGGGAAUAUUGCACAAUGGGGGAAACCCUGAUGCAGCGACGCCGCGUGAGGGAAGAAGUAUUUCGGUACGUAAAGCUCUAUCAGCAGGGAAGAAAAUGACGGUACCUGACUAAGCAGCCCCGGCUAACUACGGGCCAGAAGCCGCGGUAAUACGUCGGGGGCAAGCGUUAUCCGGAUUUACUGGGUGUAAAGGGAGCGGAGACGGCAGGGCAAGUCGGGGGUGAAAUCCCAUGGCUUAACCAUGGAACUGCUUUGGAUACUGUGCAGCUAGAGUGCAGGAGAGGGUGGCGGAAUUCCAGGUGUAGGGGUGAAAUGCGUAGAUAUUAGGAGGAACACCAGUGGCGAAGGCGGCUUACUGGACUGUAACUGACGUUGAGGCUCGAAAGCGUGGGGAGCAAACAGGAUUAGAUACCCUAGUAGUC
rnacentral:rRNA from 1 species